GCCCCCAUCGUCUAGUGGCCUAGGACACCGCCCUUUCAAGGCGGCGGCACGGGUUCGAAUCCCGUUGGGGGCA
rnacentral:tRNA from 1 species